UGAAACCAUGUGUCUGUGACAUCUGAGACUUCCUCACAUGCCUGUGGAUAUUUUUUUGUUUGUUGCUGCAGAACCCUCACAUUCCCUGGCCGCUCAGACUCUACGGUUUUCAGAACGAAGACUUCAGUAUUGAUUCUUCUGCUUUCAAAUCCAAACCAGUGGCCCCUAGCCAUCUCAAUUCAUCCCCCAGACACUCAACUCUGAAAGGGAGGGAUCUUUUCUUAGCGGAGAGAAGGAAAAUCAUGCUGUAUGUUGGAAUGCACAAAGGUUUUCUUUAUUAAUUAAAAGGAGUUUCUGUUACAGUACCUCCCGUUAAUCUAAAACAGCUGGAUUUGAGUUGAGAAUCAUAUGUUAUCUUUAUGAAGCCCAAAGUCAUUUUCGUAGUGACGCCCAGGCAGACGAAGGUGAAUUUACAGCAAAGCGGAAAACAGCAACAGGCCUGAAUUAUAAUCAUCCUGGACUUCAUCAGGGGCCAUACAGUGGAGAUCACAUGGGAAAAGGUCUGGAGAAUGGAAUCCUUUCCGCAUGGGGCCUAAUGAAGUGGAGGGAGGAGAGUGACACACAUGCAGGAAAAUCAUGAUGGAUCGGAUUUAAACAGCAUGAUUAAUCCUGGAACCAUAAAUUAGUUUUUUGGAUAGUCAACAAGAAAAUGAAAUGUACUGUAUUAAUCUGAUUACUGUAAUAAUUUGCGUGAUAAUGUGGAAAAUAAGAAUGGCGUAUCAAAUCUGUGCUAUUCUAGUUCUGCUCAAAAUGGCAAUCACACCACUGUAGACUGACUGCUCUCUGGUGGUCAGUAAAGAAGUUGCACUUUCAAUUAUUCGUGUUUGGGUGUCUGUAAAACUCGUAGACGGUAAAACUAUGUAUUGUGGCUUAUAGACUGCCUCUUGGCGACUGUCAUGAUGGUUUGGCACCUGUCUGUUGUCCUGAUAUGGUAACAUGUGUGAUACAACUUUGGCAUGUGUGUUAAGGAGUUACUAGCCGGCCUCUGUUACAUAUACCCAACUUCAAGUUAUAGCAUAAUCCAAGUUGGUGAAAAAUACCUGGAAAAUUGCCCUCAGUUUAUUAGUCUUUUGUGAAGUGGAUUGCAUGGGUCAGAAAUGAUCAAGGGCAUAAAUAAAGCCACCAAAAGUGACAAAAAGGUGUUUUAUAGCAAGCAUUGUGCCUUUUUGUUUCAUUUCUGACACUGGGACUGCUUAAUAUAGGUGAAAGCACAGUCAUGGGAAAUCCUUUUCACUCAAUUUCCAGUAGGCCAAAAAUCAUGAAUGACAAAAAAAGAAAAAAAAAGAAGA